ensembl:lncRNA
GUUUCAAGUGCCUGCCUCUUCUCUCAUUUUCUGUGACACCCAGCUGAGUUUCUGAAAUACUUUGACUUGUAAAUUAUUCCUGCUUAUUAGAAGCCGUUCCUACCACACAUCUGAGAAACAGAGAUACUAGAAGGAUGCAAAUGACGAGAGAUGUGCCAAAAAGCAUGAAUAUCUGUUCCAGCAAAUGGAUACUUGGUACCAUGGUAGGAAUCACAUGUCCUCUUAACCCACAGGUCCUCUUAACAUCAUUUCUGGACUUCAGUUGUUUUAGAUGUCUUUGAUACAUGACAGCAUGUAUCUGAAUAUAGUAAGGUUUCCCGUAAGGUUGACUUUCUGUUUCAGCACACAAACACAUUGGUGAGAUCACUUCCCAUGCUUGGAGAUAGGUCAAAACUACAUUUGUGGACUGAUACUACAUUGAUUCAAAUUAGAAAAAAAUACAUACAUUGUGUCUCAUUGUAUACAAAGCAAAGGCAAUGAAAGAUUAUAUUUAAAAGCUGUAGACUAAUCAAAUAACAACAUCAUAUAUCUUCUCUUGAAGUUAACCUCAAACAAAGGGUAUUUUUAAUUAUUUAGGCAAAAUCUAAACCAGAAGCAUAAGAAGGGCACAUGGUAAUUUAUUUUCUGUCCACACAGCUGUCUUUUGUAAGUUGUUUUUUUUAUUUGCACAGAAGAAUCUCUAAAGGAAUAACCUCUCCCCUCUCUAAACUGCAGUGUAUUGCUUGUAUAAUAAUGUUAACUAUUUUUUCCUCUUCACAGAUAAUUUUCUGGGGAAAAUAAAUAAAUAAAUAAAUAAAAGAGGUAAUCAAUACAGAAAAAUGGUAAAAACAAUUCCACCUAAAAUUAAAAUUAGGAAUACAUCAUUUAGUAAGUAGUAACUAUAUAUUAUAGACAUGGGUCUAUGGUAAGUGAGUAACUUUAUACCUCUAAUCAUAGAACUGUUUGAGUUGGAAGGGACCCUUAUAGGCCAUGUAGCUCCACUCCCCUGCAAUGAGCAGGGACACCUACAGAUAGAUCAGGUUGCUCAGAGCCUCGUCCAGAGGCCUUGAAUAUCUCCAGGGACAGAGCUUUCACCACCUCUCUGGGCAACCUGUUCCAGUGCCUUACCAUCCUUUCAGACUUCGACUGUUAGACUGCUGGGUUUCACAUCAUAAAGACUCUAAAAAUAAUUAUUUCAGAUAUGUAGGAUUUGAUUACAGUUGUGCUUUAUUUUUCCCUUCCUUUUUACAGGUUGUGAAGGCAGGGCAGAAGUAGUAUUGUUGACCUAAAUUCUCUGCCUUAUGACAGAAAAAUAUUGUUUCAUAAAUCCAUUAAUUUCUUUUUGUCCUUUGUGACCUUAAAGUUGUCCCAUUAGUGUCUGCAUCUGUCUGAAAGCCAUUUAAGGACACCAACAAGGAAAGGUGAAUAGCAACUGAGAACAAGGGAUAAAAAUAGAGAUCAGUAUUUUCUAAUGAAACCAUAAAAUCUAUCUAGGAUGUGUUUGUGCCAGUCCAUUUUCUUAACUGUAUAUUCGUUAGUACAGAGCAGAAUAUUUUCUUAAUCCAUGAAGUCUUUGUAUGUAAAAAAUAAAUAUUUUGUAUACAGACAUAAACAAAUUUCACCUUGCCACAAGGAAUAUCAUAGUUAAACAUAAAACACUGCUGACUCACUUUUGGGGGUUUUAUUAAAGCAGCUGGAAAUGGUAGGCAUAUUGCAAAACCACUGUGUAAACACAGGCUCCCAAAGCACAUCAUCUUUGCAUAGUGUCAAUGACAUCCAAGUGCAAUUUGAUGGUGGCUGGUCAAAUUUCUGUUCUACUUAGAGGACUGUUUGUUCCAGAUCUUGUACUAUAUAGACAGAGAGGAUGCAAGCCAGUAAAUUAUAUUUGGCCUGGGGUCUAGGGCCUUGCUCUCUGGCAAGGUGAUAAGUGCAGUUUCAUCAUGAUUUAGGAACAUGUAAAUACAUUCCAGAGACAGGUGGAUACUUAGUUAUAUGUUAUCUCUAAAAUACAUUCAAUUAACUUUGAGAAUGUGGGAAUUUUAGCACAUAUAACUCACAUGCUGUAAAGUCAGAGUAGAAAAAAGAAAAAAAAACAACAACAUGAAUAGAAAAAUAAUAAUUUUUAAAAGUUUUCUUUAUAUUCCUUAAGAAAUGAUUUCACAGCAUUUACCAGAAUAUGGAAAAUUUGAGUUCUAACUUUAUUUUGGGAUAACAAGGAAUUUAAAUAAGAAUACAAUGUAUGUCUUAUCAAUACAUAAAUAUUUCACUGUUUCAGUACUAGAUGCAAAUUCAACUAUUUUUAUUUAUGAAGGUGAAAAAGUUAUUAAAAAAAAAAAAAGCAUUUUUCUAUUCAUUCUCUUCCUAAAGAGCCUUUGAAGAAAUUUGUGUCUAAAACAUGAAAAAAUAAUGUCUAUUCCACUAGGUGAUUAAACACUAAAAGAGGUUCUGAUAGGCUGUGGUAUCUCCCACUGCUUCACCAAAUAUAUGCAAGCACAGCCCUGGCCAGUAUGAAAAAAAAACUGAUUUUAUUUUAAGGAGGCUCAAGAGCCUGCCAGGUUCUGAUACAAAGACUGUGUAUCAGAAUCCCAGGAGCUUCCUACUGUAGCUUCCCAGUACGCGUACAGCAAGCAAUUUUGAAUUGUCUUAUUUGUUAAUAUCUCACUUCAUUAUGUACUCUUUUUUCUUCAUCUUUUCUAUGUGAGAAAACAUAGUUGAAUAACUCAGUGAAAUUGAAAGGUUGAAAAAUGUGUUUACAAUGCUGCAAAACAACAUUCUGACCUCAAAAUCAUUAGUUUUUCAGAACUUUAAAUCAAAAACAUCUCCAUAUUUUUUCUUACCAUCUUUUCUUAGCAAGUCUUAGCAUUCAUUUGUUGUUGUUAGAUCAGAAAUUAUCUCUUACUGUUUCUUUGGUGUAUUGCAGUAAUUUUUUUUUUUAUUUUUUUUUCAGGGAGUAGUUCUACAUCAUUUGCUUCAAAGCAAUUUUUCUUAGUUACACAAAAACAUUAUUCCAAAACAAAAUUUCAAAUCCAUAGUAACAUUAUUUACACAUAAAAUAUGCAAGCAGUAAUAUUUGUUCAUGAGAGGUAAUCACCCAUAAUUGAUUACACAGCAAAUAAAAAAUCAGCAUUUUCAAUAACCAGAAGUUGUUUAUUAUGAAUACACAUUAUAUUUAGUCUGUAUGACUAUUAUUUCAGUUACAUAAGUAAGGAAGAUUAAUUUAUUGGGUAGUGCAAAAAAAAGAUACAAUUUGUUCUUUCCUUGCUUUGAAACAAAGUGUUCCGAGCUCCUCCUGUUUGCUCUGACUUUUCCUUGUAACGUUCUUUCCUGCAGGGUUUGAGGUGGGUAGUUGAAGGACAGACUUAGAAGGUUGGAAUAAUGAUUACUUCUGGAAGGUUUGUUUUCUGAGAAAAUACUGAACUUUCUGAAAUGAUUGAAGUUAUUCUUCUGUAACACAUUCAAAGUAAUUUUACAAGGCCAGUUUUGGAGUAGCCAACUGCAACUAAGCUUGUCCUAUGCCAUAUAUAAAACCUCAGUUUUUGAUUCAUAUAUCCUGUUUUGCUAAAGUUGUAUUUCACUCUGGUUUCAUUUUAGGUGAAGAUACAAACACAGAACCCCAUUUCUCUACUAUCAAAAUUGGAGGAGAUGGUGUGUUUUGUAAAAUUAGCAGGAAUAAAGUGCAACUGAAUUGUGUAUAUGCACUUCUGAUAUUCACCUAAUUGAAGCUGUAACAGUAGAGUUAAUUAAAAUUGUAAGCUGCAGGUACUCAGAGCCUCAACUAGCAGAUAAAAAUGUGAUUAGCAUCAUAUAAAGGCAAAUUGGAUUAAUUCCUCUUGGGGUAUGACGUACCCAGCAGACACCACAUUACAGUCUUCAGCACAUUGACUGUUGCACUGUAUGAGGCAUCCCUGCAGUGAGGGAAGGUUUGACAAAGGACAACAAAGCCACAGGGAACCUUAUUCUAGAUUUGACAAUCAGAAAAUGCUCAUGGUGAAAAACUGUUUACAAAUUCUUUUAUGCCUAUGACAAGAAAGAGGGCUGAUAUUUUCCUCUGAAGGUAGAACUAUUACAGGAAAAAAAAAAAAAAUGAUGAGGAAAAGUGGACAGUGUAUUACUUUUUUUUGCAGAAGCUCUGUUUAACCCAGUAUUGAAAAAAAAAAUUCAACAAUGUGGACGCUGACAGCAAUUAUCUAGUCCUAUCUACUAAUUACAUUUUGGUUUCUAUGAUGUUGGAAACAUAGAUGACAUAAUUUAGGCCUUAACAGCACAGAAUCUACUGGAUAAAUCCUUGCCUGUGGAAAGAAAUACAUCAACUUGGACUGGUAAGACAUCUAUCCCACCAUAAUGCUGUGACCUAGUUCUGUGCCUAUCUGAACCUUCGAAGGGCCUCCAGUAUUUCCAGUUUGUGAACUGCCUUAGAUCAUCAUUAUCUUCCAGAUUGCUAAAGCUUGAGGUGUCUGUCUUUUGCCUCUUAGCUGCACAAGAUUUUGAGCUGGAAAAGCUGGCCUCUCAACUGGUUGACACAUUAAUCUAACCAGGUGUGGGUCAAUAGCAAAUAUCUAAAGCCAAAUUCAAAAUUGACUUAGUGUAGCUCUAUUGUAACUUAGCUAAAUGUCCCACAGGUACUCUAUUUACAGAUGGUAGUAGAACAGGAUGUACAUCUUUGCAUCAGGGCUGAAAAAAAGACAAAAUGAAAGAGAAUAAUAAUAAGAAUAAUGAAAGAGAAUAAGAAUAAUAAGAAAGUGAAAGGAACAUCUGGACAUCUCCGUCUCACACAUUGGUUGUAUUUGGAUACACUAUGCGUCACUACCAGUCCUAUUUAGAAACUUGUACAUUUCAAACACGCAGGAUUUCUGUACCAAUGGCUGAUUUAAUUUGGUAACACACAAGUGACUGAAGGAAAGUUUUAUUUUUAGUUUAAUAUUCUUCUGCCUCUGACAGAGUGUUCUGAAAUCGGAUGUCCACAGAUGUCAAAUAUACUGACUUGCCUGAUUUGUUAUCAUAAAAGCAUUUUGACUCAUACUGCCAUCAUUUUCUGGGGUUCUUCUAGCAAAUGUGAAAAUUAAUCAGUUGUAUGACAUGUAAGUCUAAUGGGUUUGAUAGUAUAGUCCUGCGUAGUAUUAUUGCUCUGUUGCUUUUCUGUCUGAUGCUCAGUUACUGUUUUAUUUCUAGUAUACGCUCAAUUUCCACAGAUAAUUCCUGGUGGGUGAAACUCCCAAAGAUGCAGUUAGUGUGCUAGCAAGGCUGCUCUGUAUCUCCUUUGAGAGGCUGUGGAGAUGAGAGGAGUCUCAAAGCAUGAAGAAAGGGAAAAUUGCACCCAACUUAAAAAAAAAAAAAAAAAAAUAUGGAGAAUGGAAUUACUGAGUGUAAAUCAUGCAUGAUCUUGACUUUAAGCUAUUAAGCUGUUAUUAUUAUACAUAUUAAGCUAUGGCAUCAGACUAAUCAGACCAUUGGGAAGAGAACUUCACUGGAAACAUGUGAAUGACCUAUGACAGUUAAAUUGGAAGUUUUGGUUGCACUUUCUUUAGCCUAGUAUCUUUUUGACGUUUAGCAGUCACAUUCAUGUUUUGUGAUUUAGUGGAUAUCAAUGAAGUUAGUGCAGCCAUAAAAGAUUUUCCAAAGAAUGUAGGUGGGCUUCUUGUAUGCUAUUUGUUGACUAAAAAUUGAAGUACAGAGCUCUCAGCAAGAUUAAGUUGUUGUCAGUGUCUGAGAUGUCCAGCUUUGCAAUAUGUGCAGACCUCUACUCUACGGAAAAGUUAAAUGUAAAUAGACUGCUUUGUAGGUACAAUCUGACAUCACAGUGUGGUAAAAAUGAAGAUUAUGCAGCCAGCUCCAUAUAUUACUGUAAUAAAAAAGAUAAAUAAGUUAACUAAUACAAAAUUUCUUUUCUUUUUUUUCAUAUUUUUUCUAGGAUAGAAGAGAGUUUUAAUACGAUAGUGUAAAUGUAAGCAGAUGAGCACCCCCUGACACCGAGACAUUUCUGGAUCAAGAUGUGGAGAACUACUUUGCUUUUCUGUGAAAAUUCCACGUGCUUCAAGAAAAAUUCUAUGUCACAGAAUAAAAAAGUUAGAGCUUUCUGAUUGCUACCUCCUGCCAAUGACAUGAAUCUCUUGAAAAUCACUUUCCCUGCAGCUGUGAAACCUUGAACCAUUUUACCCGAUCAUGAUUAGUAGUUCCUGAGCAGAAGUGUUUGAGCAAGUCCUAACAGAACCACUUUUUGGUUUGGAACUGUUUCAAGGGAAGAGAAAAAUUGUACCGAUACCAUAUGAAAAGAAAAGGUCAUGGAAAGCAUGAGUGGAGGUUCUACAAGGGCAGGUGCAGACUCCUGCAUGUGGAUAGGAAUAACCACGUACAUCAGAACAGAUUAUGGGUCGACCUUCCAGCAAGGAGCUCUUUGGAGAAGGACUUAGGAACUCUGGCAGACAACUUGUGGACCAUGAGCCAGCAAUGUGCCCCUGUGACCAAGAAAGCCAAUGGUAUCCUGGGUCUCAUCAAAAAAUGCAAGGCUAGCAGGUCGAGGGAGGUGAUCUUCCUCCUCUACUCUGCCCCAGUGAUUUUACAUCUGGGGUACUGAAUCUAGUUCUUGGCUCCUCAUUUCAAGAAAGACAAGGAAUUACUAGAGAGGGUCCAGCAGAGGGCCACAAAGAUGAUUAGAGGCCUGAAGCAUCUCCCGCACAAGGAAAGGCUGAGAUACCUGAGAACCUUCAGCUUGGAGAAGAGAAGACUGAGAGGGAAACCCAUCACCAGUUAUAAAUAACCUAAGUGUGGAUAUCAAGUAGAUGGGGCCAGGCUCUUCCUAGUGGUGCCCAGCAAAAGAACAAUGGACAACAGGUGAAAACUGGAACACAGAAUGUUCCAAAUGAACAUGAGGAAAAAACUUCUUUAAUUUGAGAGUGACAGAGCACUAGAAGGAAAAGGCUGCCCAGGGGGGUUAUGGAGUCUUCUUCUCUGGAGAUAUUCAUGACUCACCCGGGAUCUUUCCUGUAGAUGUACUAUUGAGAACUUGCUUUAGCAGGGAGGUCAGAGUAGAUGAUCCCCAGAGAUCCUUUCCAACCGCUAUGAUCGGUGCAACACUGAUAACCCAUAGCAUUAGCUUUACUGUCUUCUCCUGACGUGAUUUUUUUUUACAGUGGUAUUCUGUGUCGACUUCAAUAGAUUUAUUCUGGUUUAAUGGCUUGGUAAAUUGAAAUCUGUCUCAUUGUACUUUUUUAUUGCAAGUAAAGAUACUGAAGAAGCAAUGCCUCUUUACAAGUUACUCUAAGUGCUUAUCUACUGUUUAUUACAUAUACCACUAACUGCUUAGCAAUUUAAGUCUGAAGUAUGAUGUUUAUCUGAAAAAUACAGUAGGUAUUUUGUGUAUAUAAAAUAAAUUAUUUUCUCA